rnacentral:rRNA from 1 species
AUUGAACGCUGGCGGCAGGCCUAACACGUGCAAGUCGAACGGUAACAGGAAGCAGCUUGCUGCUUCGCUGACGAGUGGCGGACGGGUGAGUAAUGUCUGGGAAACUGCCUGAUGGAGGGGGAUAACUACUGGAAACGGUAGCUAAUACCGCAUAACGUCGCAAGACCAAAGAGGGGGACCUUAGGGCCUCUUGCCAUCGGAUGUGCCCAGAUGGGAUUAGCUAGUAGGUGGGGUAACGGCUCACCUAGGCGACGAUCCCUAGCUGGUCUGAGAGGAUGACCAGCCACACUGGAACUGAGACACGGUCCAGACUCCUACGGGAGGCAGCAGUGGGGAAUAUUGCACAAUGGGCGCAAGCCUGAUGCAGCCAUGCCGCGUGUAUGAAGAAGGCCUUCGGGUUGUAAAGUACUUUCAGCGGGGAGGAAGGGAGUAAAGUUAAUACCUUGGCUCAUUGACGUUACCCGCAGAAGAAGCACCGGCUAACUCCGUG